rnacentral:pre_miRNA from 1 species
UCUUCAUUUCACGUGCUCUCUCGCCGGUCAGAGAGGCGAGAGAGUGUGCGGAAUGAAGAGA